rnacentral:rRNA from 1 species
AUUGAACGCUGGCGGCGGGCCUUACACAUGCAAGUCGGACGAGUGGCGGACGGGUGAGUAAUGUAUGGGAACGUGCCGGAUGGAGGGGGAUAACUAUCGGAAAGGAUAGCUAAUACCGCAUACCAUUGGAGGUGCCCAGAUGAGAUUAGCUGGUUGGGGGGGUAAAGGCUCACCGAGGCGACGAUCCCUAGCGGGUCUGAGAGGAUGACCAGCCACACUGGAACUGAGACACGGUCCAGACUCCUACGGGAGGCAGCAGUGGGGAAUAUUGCACAAUGGGCGCAACCCUGAUGCAGCCAUGCCGCGUGUAUGAAGAAGGCCUUCGGGUUGUAAAGUUCUUUCAGCGGGGAGGCGUUACCCGCAGAAGAAGCACCGGCUAACUCCGUGCCAGCAGCCGCGGUAAUUC